rnacentral:rRNA from 1 species
CUCGCCUGCAUGAAGCUGGAAUUGCUAGUAAUCGCGGAUCAGCAUGCCGCGGUGAAUACGUUCCCGGGCCUUGUACACACCGCCCGUCACACCAUGAGAGUUGGCAAUACCCAACGUACGUGAUCUAACCCGCAAGGGAGGAAGCGUCCUAAGGUAGGGUCAGCGAUUGGGGUGAAGUCGUAACAAGGUAAC